UACGGAGGGUGCAAGCGUUAUCCGGAUUCACUGGGUUUAAAGGGUGCGUAGGCGGGCAGGUAAGUCCGUGGUGAAAUCUCUGAGCUUAACUCAGAAACUGCCAUGGAUACUAUUUGUCUUGAAUAUUGUGGAGGUAAGCGGAAUAUGUCAUGUAGCGGUGAAAUGCUUAGAUAUGACAUAGAACACCAAUUGCGAAGGCAGCUCACUACGCGAAUAUUGACACUGAGGCACGAAGGCGUGGGGAUCAAACAGG
rnacentral:rRNA from 1 species